rnacentral:rRNA from 1 species
AACGAACGCUGGCGGCACGCCUAACACAUGCAAGUCGAACGAGACCUUCGGGUCUAGUGGCGCACGGGUGCGUAACGCGUGGGAACCUGCCCUUAGGUUCGGAAUAACUCCCCGAAAGGGGUGCUAAUACCGGAUAAUGUCUUCGGACCAAAGAUUUAUCGCCUUUGGAUGGGCCCGCGUUGGAUUAGCUAGUUGGUAGGGUAAAAGCCUACCAAGGCGACGAUCCAUAGCUGGUCUGAGAGGAUGAUCAGCCACACUGGGACUGAGACACGGCCCAGACUCCUACGGGAGGCAGCAGUGGGGAAUAUUGGACAAUGGGCGAGAGCCUGAUCCAGCGAUGCCGCGUGAGUGAUGAAGGCCUUAGGGUUGUAAAGCUCUUUUACCCGGGAUGAUAAUGACAGUACCGGGAGAAUAAGCUCCGGCUAACUCCGUG